rnacentral:tRNA from 2 species
AGAGUUGUACGUUAAUGGCAAACAGCUACUCUUUAUUAACCUUCAGUACUAGCUAUCUAGGUUCGAAUCCUAGCAACUCUA